rnacentral:rRNA from 1 species
UACGUAGGGGGCUAGCGUUGUCCGGAUUUAUUGGGCGUAAAGAGCGUGUAGGCGGCCAGGUAGGUCUGCUGUGAAAACUCGAGGCUCAACCUCGAGACGCCGGUGGAAACCAUCAGGCUAGAGUCCGGAAGAGGAGAGUGGAAUUCCUGGUGUAGCGGUGAAAUGCGCAGAUAUCAGGAAGAACACCCGUGGCGAAGGCGGCUCUCUGGGACGGUACUGACGCUGAGACGCGAAAGCGUGGGGAGCAAACAGG